rnacentral:lncRNA from 1 species
AGCAGUUCCAGGCCCACCUGCCUGGGCCCACCACUCUGAGGGUCAGUCUUUCCUCAACUGUGCACAUUUCUCCUACCUGUGGAAAGGACAUGGAGCCUCCACUCUGCCAGUCUUUCCCUGUAGCGUUGCCUUCUUGAACCACAGAUGUUGGAGGUCCAGCACAGUUCUCUGGGCAGGGUUGUUUUCUAGAUGAACUUAAGACUGUAGCUGGAAAACGUGAAUCUCUGCUUUGCCAGGUCCUAUGGCAGCAGAACCCCAGGAGAUGCGGCAGCCCACACAGACAAGCUUGUGUUUAAGGGUCAGAUUUGCCUUCUCUCUAGGUGUAUGUGUGCUCUUGGGUUGGUUCUGUAAUCUCUUUGUGCCUCACUUUAUUUUAUUUUAUUUAUUUAUUUUUUGAGACAGGGUCUUGCUUUGUAGCCCAGGCAGGAGUGAAGUGGCAAAAUCAUAGCUCACUGCAGCCUCGAACUCCUAGGCUCAAGUGAUCCUCUUGCCUCAGCUUCCUGAGUAGCUGGGACUACAGGUGUGUGACACCGUAUCUGGCUAAUUUUUUUUUUUUUAAACUUUUUGUAGAGACCGGAUCUUGCUAUUCUGCCCAGGCUGGUCUUAAACUCUUCGCCUCAAGAGAUCCUUCUGCCUCAGCCUCCCAAAGUGCUGGAAUUACAGGCAUGAGUCACUUUGCCCAGCCACUGGCCUCCCUUUCUUAUCUGGAAAAUGGGAACAGUAAUACCACCUUGGAGUAAUGAGUGUUUAAUUGUCUGUAAACUGGCCGCUCUGAUGGGAGGUACCCCAAAGUACUUUCUGUGCUCAUUGUCUUCCCAUAUGGUUUGUUGGCUCCAUUAUUCCAGCUGGGCCCAGGUCCCACAGGAGCAUGAUGAUGAAGCCCAGCUUUGCUGGUCCCAGUCCUGGCACUGCCACUAACUUGCUGUGUGGCUUUGGGCUAGCCCAUACUGAGGCCCCCCGCAUCUGCAACAGGAAGUCAGUGGGCUGCGUCAUCUAUCUUUCCAAGGAUUCUCCCAGCUCUGAUGACCGAAGGUUGGUCCAAGCAGGUGCUGUCACCGGGGAGCAGCAAGGAAUGUCACAACAAGUAAGACACCACCUGCCUCAUCCACCUGCCAAGCUGAUGGAUGGCUUUAUGGAUGACUUAUAGGGUUGCUUUUGGCUGCCUUCUGAUGGGACCACCUCUCUUCUCCACCCUCUCCAUCCCAAACUUGCUUUUCCUCCUCUCAUGUUUCCUAUUUUGGGGACAGGUACCACUAUUCAUUUUGUGUCUGCAGCUAGAAAUGGGGCACCCCUUACCUCCCCUCCGCUCACAUUCAUCAAGGCCUUUUGAAUCUAUCCCAUAAAUAUCUCCAUUGUCAGCCACCCUCCGUUGCCAUUGCCCUCACCACUAGCGCCUCCUGCCUUUGGAUCCUGACCACUGCUUUCCCACUAGCCUCUCUGGUGGCUCAUCUGCAACCAGAAGAUCUGCCCCUGGUGCAAAUCCUGUUAGGUCACUCCUCCUCUGCCUUAACCCCUCAGUGGCUCCCCUGUUCUGCUGCUCGAACUUGUCUGAGGAUCUGCCCCUGUCGACUUUGCCAGCUCCGUUCAUUCCAACUCAGUCACUACUCUUCGGCCAUAGGAGCUGCUGGCUGUGCUCCAGACUUUUUCUUACUGUUCCAUCCCUGUGCCUCUGCACAAGCUGAAACCUGCCCCUCCAUGUCCUCUCCUCAUCACACUUGAAGACAGCUCAGGUGUCACUUCCUUCAAGAAGCCAUUCCUUUUUUUUUUUUUUUUUUUGAGACAGAGUCUCACUGUAUCACCCAGGCUGGAGUGCAGUGGUGCGAUCUUGGCUCACUUCAACCAUCCUCCACCCUUUGGGCUUAAGCGAUUCUUUUGCCUCAGCCUCCUGAGUAGCUGGGAUUAUAGGUGCACACCAUCACACCCAGCUAAUUUUUGUAUUUUUAGUAGAGACAGAGUUGUGCCAUGUUGGUCAGGCUGGUCUUGAAUUCCCGAUCUCAAGUGAUCUGCCCGCCUCUGUCUCCCAAGUUGCUGGGGUUACAGGUGUGAGCCACCAUACCCAGCCAGGAAGCCAUCUCUUAAACCUGGGAUGAAUUGAGGCAUUUCCUUUAUGGUUCCCUUGUCCCCUGGGCUUCCCUGUGUCCUGGACCUGACUGUCAUUCCAGUGUCUGCCUAAACCACAGUGGAUGCUCAGUAAUAUUUGUUGAAUGGACUGUAUUUUCACUGCCUGUUUAUUUGCCUACAAAAAAUCAGUGAUUAAAAAAAUUUGUUCAGCAUAUACUUUUUGAGGACCUACUGGUGCCAAGCACUGACUGUGGUGCUGGGGAUACUGCCGUGGACAAGAGCAACAGAGCCUCACUCUCGAGGAGGCAGGGGUGGGUCCAGCCCACCUUCGGGUCCCAGGAUGCAGCACCGGGCUGUGUGCAGAACGCGUAUGCUCUCCAUACUGAUUGAAUAAAUACAG